rnacentral:rRNA from 1 species
UACGAAGGGGGCUAGCGUUGUUCGUAAUUACUGGGCGUAAAGCGCACGUAGGCGGACUACUAAGUCAGGGGUGAAAUCCCGGGGCUCAACCCCGGAACUGCCUUUGAUACUGAUAGUCUCGAGUCCGGAAGAGGUGAGUGGAAUUCCGAGUGUAGAGGUGAAAUUCGUAGAUAUUCGGAGGAACACCAGUGGCGAAGGCGGCUCACUGGUCCGGUACUGACGCUGAGGUGCGAAAGCGUGGGGAGCAAACAGG